CCUACGGGCGGCAGCAGUGAGGAAUAUUGGUCAAUGGACGAGAGUCUGAACCAGCCAAGUAGCGUGAAGGAUGACUGCCCUAUGGGUUGUAAACUUCUUUUAUAUGGGAAUAAAAUGUUCCACGUGUGGGAUUUUGUAUGUACCAUAUGAAUAAGGAUCGGCUAACUCCGUGCCAGCAGCCGCGGUAAUACGGAGGAUCCGAGCGUUAUCCGGAUUUAUUGGGUUUAAAGGGAGCGUAGGGGGAUUGUUAAGUCAGUUGUGAAAGUUUGCGGCUCAACCGUAAAAUUGCAGUUGAAACUGGCAGUCUUGAGUACAGUAGAGGUGGGCGGAAUUCGUGGUGUAGCGGUGAAAUGCUUAGAUAUCACGAAGAACUCCGAUUGUGAAGGCAGUUCACUGGACUGCAACUGACACUGAGGCUCGAAAGUGUGGGUAUCAAACAGGAUUAGAUACCCGGGUAGUC
rnacentral:rRNA from 1 species